CUCCUUUAGAGGGGAAGGGGAGCGAGUCAGUGCCAAGGCGAGGAGACUUUCUGCUCUCUAACUCCCGGGGAGCGAGAAGACCCGGGUGGACCAGUUGCAGGUGUACCAAGAGGAAGUUUCCCCAUCUUGGGGUUCCAACUUCCUGAAGGACCACAGUCUGGCCCAAGCAGAGACCCUGAAGCCAGAGGAAAUGGCCCCCGGCACCCUGAGGCCCCCAUCACAGGGGUCAAUAUCAUUGAAGGAUGUGGCUGUGGCCUUCACCCAGGAGGAGUGGUGCCUAUUGGACCAUGUUCAGAAAGAGCUGUACAGGGAGGUCAUGCUGGAGAAUGUGCAGAAUCUACUCUUUGUGGGUAAGAAUUUCCUCAGUUAACUCUGAAUCUGCCAUUAAGGGAAUGUCUUUAUUCCAUGUGAAAGGUGCAGGAUUUUAAGCUUUUGUCAAUGAUUAAAAAAGCAAAAGUACCAAUCUCUGCACAAGAAUCUUCUCCUGCCUGGUUUUUCAUUUAAAAAAAAAAAAAAGCUUUGAAUUCUGUGAUGGGAAGCUGGGAAUUUCCUUUCUUGCUCCUGAAAUUGUCUUUCUUCUAUUUUAGGUAGCUUCAGGUGAAAACUUAAAACAGUGUUACAGAUAUACAUUCUUGAAGCUAAUCACAAAAGUCAUCUUUGACCCUCUAAUUAGACCUGAAAUUUGUGUGCAAAUUUUCUGUUAAUACCAAGGCAGAUUUUCCUUGCCAAUGGCUAUUGAAGGGGACAAUACCUACCAAGGCAGUCCCUUCUCUUUUGGGAUGAGUCUGGUCUUUAGGAAGGAAUUUUUGUUGAGAAGUAUUCUUGGGGGAGGCAGUGCCAAGAAGGUAGCAUAGCAGAAGCAAAAGCUGGAAUCACCUGAGAAUCUCAAAUGAACCUUAAAAGAGUGCUUCUAAAAUUCUAGAAUCACAGAAUGAACAAAGGUCAGAGAAAGGUGAGGCUCCUGAGGAAAACAACUUGAAAGGUUGGCAGAAAGUGUCUAUUUCUGGGGACAAAGAGGAAUUGGAAGUAAAACUGGGCAAAGGGGAGUGCAGAAAAUCCAUCCCUUACAUACUACUCCACAUCCCUUACCUGGGCAGAAGCCAACUUCAAGACCCUGGACCCUUCUUAAGCCUUCAUUAGCACAUCCUAACCCAGGUAGGGAAUGGAGGAGAAACUAUUGGGCUCCAACUAAAAUAAGAAAAGAAGUAGCAAUUACAAUCUCAGACAAAGCUAGAGCAACAAUAGAACUGAUUAAAAGAGAUAAGGUUAGUAAUUACAUCUUGAUUAAAAAAAAAAGUUAGUUUAGACAGUGAGACUAUAUUGGUUCUUAACAUGUGCACCAAGUGGUAUAGCCUCCAGAUUUUAAAAGUAGAAACUAAAGGAGAAUAAGAAGGAAAUUGCUAAUAAAACUGUUCUGGUGAUGGAUCUCAACCUUCCUUUUUCAGUACACUCACCAAAAAAUAAACAAGAAAGGAAUAAAAGAAAUUAUGAAAUUGUAGAAAAGUUACAUUUAAUAGAUAUCUGGAGAAAAUUGAAUGAAAUGCAGAAAUAUAUCUUCUUUUCAAGUUCACAUGGAAAAUAUGCAAAAGACCAUGUACCAGGGUAUAAAAACUUCACAAUGAAAUGCAAAGAAGCAGAAGUAACAACUGCAGCCUUUUCAAAUUAUAAUGGAAUAAAAUCUUGUUAAUAAGAAUUAAUGGAAAGAAAAAAUUUAAAUUCAUUGGAAACUGAAUAAUUGUUCAAAGGGGAUGGGUCAAUGAACAAAUGGUGGAAACAAUGAUAUCAUCAAAGGAAUGACAGUGAGGAGACAACAUAUCAAAAGUUGUGGGAUGUAACCAAAGCAGUGCUUGGGGGGAAAUUUAUAUUCAUGAAUACUCAUAUCAAUAAAAGAGGGAAAAAAUGAAAAAGAAC